GGUGCAGCAGGCGCGAAAACUUUACAAUGCGGGAAACCGUGAUAAGGGGACACCGAGUGCCAGCAGCAUAUGCUGGCUGUCCAGGUGUGUAAAAUACACCUGUUAGCAAGGGCCGGGCAAGACCGGUGCCAGCCGCCGCGGUAACACCGGCGGCCCGAGUGGUGAUCGUGAUUAUUGGGUCUAAAGGGUCCGUAGCCGGUUUGGUCAGUCCUCCGGGAAAUCUGAUAGCUCAACUAUUAGGCUUUCGGGGGAUACUGCCAGACUUGGAACCGGGAGAGGUAAGAGGUACUACAGGGGUAGGAGUGAAAUCUUGUAAUCCCUGUGGGACCACCUGUGGCGAAGGCGUCUUACCAGAACGGGUUCGACGGUGAGGGACGAAAGCUGGGGGCACGAACCGGAUUAGAUACCCGGGUAGUCCCAGCCGUAAACGAUGCUCGCUAGGUGUCAGACAUGGCGCGACCGUGUCUGGUGCCGCAGGGAAGCCGUGAAGCGAGCCACCUGGGAAGUACGGCCGCAAGGCUGAAACUUAAAGGAAUUGGCGGGGGAGCAC
rnacentral:rRNA from 1 species